rnacentral:rRNA from 1 species
CCUACGGGAGACAGCAGUGAGGAAUAUUGGUCAAUGGACGAGAGUCUGAACCAGCCAAGUAGCGUGAAGGAUGACUGCCCUAUGGGUUGUAAACUUCUUUUAUAAAGGAAUAAAACGAGGCACGUGUGCCUUUUUGCAUGUACUUUAUGAAUAAGGAUCGGGUAACUCCGUGCCAGCAGCCGCGGUACUACGGCGGAUUCGCGCGUUAUCAGGCUUUAUUGGGUUUAAAGGGUCCGUAGGCGGACUGUUAAGUCAGCGGUAAAAGCCCGGGGCUCAACCCCGGCGAGCCGUUGAAACUGGAUGUCUUGAGAUGGCGAGGGGCAUGCGGAAGGCGCAGGGUAGCGGUGAAAUGCUUAGAUAUUGCGCAGAACUCCGAUGGCGAAGGCAGCAUACCGGCGGCGAUCUGACGCUGAGGCACGAAAGCGUGGGUAUCGAACAGGAUUAGAUACCCGGGUAGUC